UGUGUGGCACAUGUUUUUUGUUAUGGGUGCUGUACUGUUGUGUAAGAUUAAAGACUGGAAUACCAGUAUUAGUGCGUUCUGUUUGGUCUUGUGAAUCAGACAGCAUAAUAGCAGAGCUUGGUUACUGCACUGUUGCAAAGUCCCUGGGGAAAAAGGUUUGGGACUUGAGAGUAGAUCUGUGAUGUGUUUUUGUAGAGGAAAGGAUAAAAUAACAGUUAUAGUGCAGAGAGAGAGAGAGAGAGAGAGAAAAACAGCCUGCUUGUGUCAGACUAUCCCAGAAACAGGGUGAACUGUAAAUGAACCUGUAUCUUCCUGCUGUUGUCUGGCUGCUUCUUCACAUUUACACCCGUGAAACCAUCCGACUCUGCCCUCACUUCCCCGCACUGAUGAUGAGCAGCUCUGCUGAUAGAUGCUUCAGAUGUCCACUGAGGCUCCAAUAAUCUUUUGAUCUCAGCCCCCAUUUCAACCGCAGAUCACAAGAUACUGCAGCAGCCAACCUUUGCUCAAGUCUCACCUCCCUCAUAUCAGGUUGCAUGAGAGGUUUGAAAAGAUGAACUCCUCACUGCAGGUACGCGCAGGUUUUUGACUCUAAAUGCAAAUGCACUAGUGUCAAAAUGUCAUGAAGCAUUCUUUGGUGAUGGAAACUUUGUUCUCUUCUAAAACGUAUCGUUCAAAAAAUGAUUCAGUCAUUUUAGUGUUUGAGUCUGGGAGACUGGGGGUCCUGUGACAGAGAGUGGCAGCACAUGAAUCCUUAACAGCAGAAAAGUCUCGUUCAUUUAUGGUGACCUCUGAUCUUCUCAUUGUUCUGCCGCUGUUCCUAUGGGCAGAUGGCUGCUCCUCCCUCUGUAAUGGGGGAGGGCGGGGGAGGGAGGUGGGGGGGACGUCCCUAGCCUUUCACAGAUUGCCGGUUCAAAGCAGGAGAUCCUUACAGUGGUACCUCAAGGCGAACCAACCUGCAACAGCCUGAAUGAUCCCCAUAAGAAUAAAAGGACUACAAAUGUAGAGGGGGAUGAAAACUACUGAAAAGAAGAGCUCUGGUUUCAAGUCACAACUCUAAGUUUUGUCUUACAAUCCUGAGAUUUAAUCAGGGUUUUCAUUAUUAAUCUCUCAGCCUCUUCUCUGGACUUGAACAACAGCAGCAGCUGCAGGGAUGUCCUCAGUCCUGAGGUUGAGGCAUAAAUGAGGCCUCUUGUAGGACAGCUUUAAUCUAGUAUAAGCUUGAAAAAACUUCAAUUAGUUGAUCAGUUUACAUUUGUGGAGACAGCCCUAAAGAGGUAGACCUCUGAUGACUGAUGGGGGGCCGGUGAUUUUGUUACUGGGUGUCGUGUUAUAAAAGGAAACCCUGUCCAAGCACUUAAUGACCCUCUCACACCUGCUCAAGUGUCACAGCAAAGCUGGAUAAUCUGUGAUGCUAUGUCCUUAUCAAAUCAAGAAUAACAAAGCGGAAGUUAAGGCCACAAAAACAAUAACUUCAUAACUUAUCUCAUUCCAUAUCAGUAAAGAACAAACAAACAAAGAAAUCUAUGAUCAGACUAACUUCGCUAACCUCCUCCAUCAGAGGGUGACGUUGAUUAGCAGCAGUUUUGUUGUCGGGCUGUCUCCUUCUGUGAUUUAUUGACGGAUGAGAGCCUUUAAUGUUAGAGGAGCUUUCAGAGUCCAGCUGUUCCCGUGUCUAGAGUUUCACUUCGGACUUUUUCCUUUUCAUCAUCACUAAGCAUGUUCGCUUUGUCUAAUACCAACACGGCUCACAAACCACAAACCUGCCUCAGUGCUGUUUUAAAUGUUCAUGAAGACAAAUGUAUUUAAUCUGAGAAAUAUAAAGGAGAGCCUACAGACCUGCACUAUGGAGGACAGAUUUACACAGGCCCAUAAAACAGAGGGAUUAGGGAGAGAAUGAGAGCUACACUGACAAGCAACAUACAACCUCUGCAUUUAUGCCCUAAAGCAUAACUCGCUCUUAUUUAUAACACUUAUUCUAUUUUCCUUGUUUAUGGUUUUCCUCUUCUAUUUUUCUUGACUACAUAGGAGUCUGUGGCAUUUUUGGAUGCAGAUAAAUCAACCCAACCAAGUAUUUUGCCCUUUACUAGUCACCGUGCUGUGUUUCUCCUGGGAAAUCUAUUUUUCUCUAUGCUAUUUAGUCAUUGUCUCUGCCCAAUAAAUCAUCCAGGAGUAUCGUACCACCUCAGUGCAUUUGUCUCAACACGUGCGUUGAGACCAGGUCUCAAGACCUCACAACUCCAUGACACCAGUAUCCACAUAAAGACCAAUUAAGUGGAUACCAUGCUGCAAAGAGAGAGACAAUACUAUACAGAGUAAUACAUGGAGGGAGGAGAAUCGGCGCUGAGAUAUUUAAGAGGCUUUUGGGGUAAACACUUUCUCUGAUAAGAGGGUAAAAGAUGGUGAAAUCUAUCUUUAAAAGCGGAGACUGUCCUCCACCAGUUUAUUUUGAUGUGUCUGCUCUUUGAGAGAAAAGACCACUGCUGCUCAUGAGCAAAGGAUGACAAUUUGAAUAAUGAUAUAGUUUCAACACAGAUGAAGGCUGGUGAGUCAACCACCUCCUCUGUGAAUGACAUUUACAAAAUGAUGAAGGAAAAGGUACGAGUUCAAGAGAGUAAUCAGGAUGUUUCCGCAGAACUAAAAUCAAUGUAGGCCAUCAAAUAAAGUUAGUUAGACAUAAUACUUUAUCUACCUUUGUGUACUCCAUCCAUCCAUCCAUCCAUCCAUCCAUCCAUCCAUCUUCUACUGCUAAUCAUCAGCCUAAGCAGAGAAGCACAGACUUCCCUCUCCCCGGCCACUUGUCCAGUUCUCUGCUGGGGACCUGUAGGUGUUCCCAGGCCAACUAAGAGACAUAGUCUCCAGCAUGUUUUGGGUCUUCCCCUUCUACUGGUUCUACUUUGGUUUUUGGCUCAGCUCCCUCUUUACCACAAGAGACUUAUGUAGCAUCUCACCUGUGGAUUUUUUUUUUGGCUGAGAACCAUUGACUCAGAUUUGGAGGUGCUGAUUAUCAUCCCAGCUGCUUUACACUUGGUUGCAAACUGAUCCAGUGAGAGCUGAAGGUCACGCCCUAAUGAAGCCAACAGGACCACAUCAUCUGCAAAAAACAGUGACCAAACCAGACCCCCUCUACACCCUGGCCACACACACACACACACACACACACACACACACACACACACACACACACACACACACACACACACACACACAUACACACACACACACACACACACACACACACACACAGUAGGGUUAAUUGAAAGUUAGUUGAAAGUGUAACUAAAGUCUGUUUCAGCAGUCAUGAGGUCUGACACCCACAGCAUCAUAAUUAAAAACAAAAUAUAAAUAAUUGGUUCCAUCACUGAUUUUCUUUUUCACUUUAGACGGUCGCACAGAGGCAUCUACCCAUGUGAGGACCUUUAGAUUACUUUAUUUUAGGGUGGGGUGAUUGAAAGGACAGUUUGUACUGAGGAGUAAGACUGCAGACUAAAUACAGAACACAAAGUUAGGCCCUGUUUUAAUGAAGAAUAGGAUAUGUUAUAUUUCAAAAACUCAUUUGUUUUUUUCAUAAAACAACCAAAGAGAACUGAACUUUAUUUACGAAGCUCAAAACACUAGCAGGUUGCAAAUGAAUAUAUUAGAGAAGGUUGAUUUAAAAAAAGUCAGAAAAAACAGAAUAAAUGGCGCUAGGACAUUAACAGAGGAGACUCAGUCUGAUUAUUAUGAUUAGGUUGAUGCAUAUUCAUGUUAUUUUUAUUUUUAAACAGGACUAGAGUUGCCAAUAAAGAUGAUGCAAUUUCAAAUGUGUGUCCUGCCAAUGCCAUACAGUUUGGAGAGAGAGCUAUCUAGUGGUAAUGUGUGUCACUACACAGAUCAUUGGUCCUGCAGUUUACAUGUCAUCUAAAGGGCUGUAAAUACUUAUCUCUGUGUGAUUUAUACUGAAGAUAGAAGACAAGUGGAAUAUUCCACCUAGAGGCAAAAGACUUGAUUGUUGUUUAAAAAGUCUGAUAAAUUCUGCACAGAUUUGUGUUGUUGAGAAUUAAAGUCUAAUCUAAAUAAUAAAAAAUUACAUUGGACAGCUGCAUGUUAACUCUGUCUUUAACACCAUGUUGUGUUAAGAGUCGAUAUAUAUUUCAAACACCUAAAAGAGUCUCUUAUGCAACAUACUAUCCAGUGUUUGACAAUGAUUAUUGAGUGAGGGGGCUAUGAUUGUAGUCAUGCAGGUAUAUACUUCAAAUACAAGGAGGCUUUUACUCAUUUAAAAAAAGCAAAGACAAAAAUGGUUUCAUAAGUUUUAAAACUCAAAUCAACAUAGAAAACAGGGUCCACAAACCCCGCUCUAUCCUUUUGUAAUCCUUCACAACUUUGUUUCGUGCCUCUCUAUUGCCAGAGCUAGUUUUUCUUCUUUUUAAUCAGACAUCAGUCAAUGAUUUCACAGUAGUUUCAAAGAUUUAAAAACACAAGUCCACUGAGUUAAAUAUGAUGGAAACAUUCAAAAAGAACCAGCAUAAUAAGACAUAUUGACCUUAUUGGAUUGAUGUUGUUGUAUUUUAGAUGUAUGCAGUAAUAAAAACACCAUUCUCCUUGUUAGUGUACACUCCAUCUGAAACAUUUCCAGUACUCUGCUGUUAGAAAGCACAUCGAUUGAUGCCCAAAACUCAGAUGAGCUGCUUGGCACACGCUGAUCAGCCCCUUGAGUCUGCUGGCUUCAAAGAAACAAACAAAAAAAGCAAUCAAACUUAAUAAUAAAUGUUUCUGAGAGCCUGAAUAACAAGCAGUGUACUGUGGACACAGGUGGACACCAUUACAAGCUGAAGUUUACAGAGAAAGUAUGAGAUUUAAAGCUGUGCUGGUGGUGGCAUUGAUAUAUUACGUUAACAUGAUAUUAAGUGAAAACUCUGUGAUCAACCAAGAAAAGUACUUUAUUCUAUGAGUGGGACAAGGUAACAGCAGUCUUCUAGGUCCAUGAGAUCACAUACAGCUGCAGUGCUCCAAUUUUUAACGACUUCCCCAUUCAGAAAACUAGAAAAACACCAUUACAAUGACAACAGCCAUGAGCUGCUGGAAGGGACAAGCCGAAAUCACAUACACUACUGCCUCUACUGGCUGCUGGAUAAUCUUGUUGCUCAAAAUUACGUCAAAAAUAAGAUGCAAAAGUUUUGUAAAUCAAAGACCUGAUUUAUGAAUCAGUGCACUUCAAGUAGAAGAGCACAUAUGAGCUGUGAGUGAUAAUAGGCCAAAAUGAGCGGCCUCUCUGGUACUAAAAAAAAACAUUCAGAAUAUUAAAACAUUUCGUCAGGGGUUUAUGCACAGGUGUUGAUACAGCUGUGGGGCAGCAGGUGUCAGUAAACUCACUGCUAUGUUAGCUCUGG
rnacentral:lncRNA from 1 species